ACAGCCCAUUUUUUCUUAUGAUAAAGACGGCAUUUGGCUCAUGAGCAAGGUGGCAAAAUCAUCAAGUGAGUCAGACGUGCAGCUCUGGGAAACAGAAGAGGAUGACAUGACAGAAGGUGAUUUAGGGUAUGGCCUCGGAAGGAAACCUGGUGGGAUUUAUGAAAUAGAAUUUUCACAUAGGUCUAGAAAAAGAUCAGAUGGAAAGAACUUUAGCCCUCCUCCAUUUCCGAGAAAGGGAGAAGAAAGAAAUGAAGCGAGUUUUCAGUAUUCCAAGCAUAAGAGCCAGCAAGAGACAUUCCCUCAAGUGUCCAGAAUUUCUAAUUACAGACGACAAAGUAGCACUGUAGAUUCGAAUUCAGAAUUGUCAAAUGAAGAAUUAAGGCAAUGUCUUAAUGAAACUUUAGAGGUAAGUACUCUGGCUAAUAUAAAAAUUAUCGGUUUAGCUGGGUCCCAGCAGCGGCUGCAGUGCUCUCGUCUUCUGCAGCUCUCCAUGCCCUCUCCUUUUUGCUUCUGGAAACAUGGCCUCGUUGUGUCUGUCUCUGAUGGUGUCAUCAAGGUGUUCAACGACAUGAAGGUGUGUAAGUCUUCAACACCAGAGAAGUUGAAGAAGCGCAAGAAGGCGGUGCUCUUCCGCCUGAGUGAAGACAAGAAGAACAUCAUCCUGAAGGGGAGGGCAAGGAGAUACUGGUGGGCAAUGUGGACCAGACCAUCGACGACCCCUAUGCCACCUUUGUCAAGAUGCUACCGGAUAA
rnacentral:sRNA from 1 species